AACAAAGAUGGAUAGUCUACUAUUCAAGCUUCCUAGGAGACCCAGCAACCAGAAAUCCAGCAACUCAGCAACCAGCAAUCCAGCAACUCAGCAAUCCAACAGAUAAAAUUUUCAUGUCUACCCCAAAAAUCAUGUCUCAAGAGAUAAUAUUUAUAUAACUGGUCUUAUUAAUAAAGAAGUCAAUAUCGGAUCCAUAAAAGUCCUAGGGAGCUGUGGAUGCUCUACACAUCAAUGAAACGGAAACUCAGGAAAUAUUCGGAUCUAGUUAUAUGGAAAAUAAGGAGUGAAAAAGAUAAAAAGGACUAGCAAAGGAUAAACAAAGACAGGCAUAGGUCACCACAAACCUCUAAUAAAUGUCCACCGGCUAAACCUAAGUUAAGCUCAUGAUCUUAGAACUAACAGGCCUUGACAUCCAAAUGUCAUCUAAAAAUCUCAACAUCCUAGAGAUUCGAUUUAUUAUUUUCAGUCGAACUUUUUAACUUACACAGACAGCAUCUUUUAGACUGCUAAAAAAAAAUAAUAAAUACUUUCAUCCUUUUGUUAACUUUUUUCCAAAUUCGGCUUGACCAUGUGCUACGGCUGCAACUCCUGCUGUGGACCCUGUGGAUCUUGCUGUGGGCCCUGCUAUGGAUUCUGUUGUGGUCCUUGCAACACCCGCUGUUGCUCAAUGGUUGGCAGCACUCUGUCGAAAAUGACUGGCCUGUGGACAGAGUUUCCCUAUUGUUAACAAAUCGAUGACGUAAAAGAAAAAUAAAAAAAAAAGAUUUAAAAACGAGAAAA